UUAGUCGGUUUGUGUACGCGCCGGGGUUCAGUUGUGUUUAUGUUUCGGGUGUGAGCGUUGGCAUAUUGCAAAAUUUACCGUUAGCAUUUACGUGCGCCGGCAGGAGCAACAGCAAGCAAAUAUUUGAAUGUGCCAAAGCUGUUAGUAUCGCUGGGUCUCUCGCUAUCUCUCUGUCCCUCUCUCUCAAGUGCCAUAAAUUAAAUUGUGCUUAAAAAAAUUUUAAAGCCCGCCAGCAUCACCCUGUGAGUGAAUUGGCUUCCUGCAUUUGUGUAUGUGCUUGUGCCUGUUCGUGUAUGUGUUUGUCGCUUUUCACAUUGUCUCGCAUUCGCGCGCGCAAUUUGGCUGCCGGUGUAUUGUGUUAAUCUGAGUGUGUGUGUGUGUGUAUCUGUGUAUGUGCUGCAAUUUGCACCCAAAUGAUUUACCGUUUGAUUGCUAUCAACGCUUGCCGCAAUUAUGUUUUAAUUGUCGUUAAAUGGUUUACACACAACGGGAUUAGCUGCAGCCCUUUGCGACAGUCAAAUUAAACCAUUCGCUGCGAGGGCAACAAAAAUUAACACAAAUGUAUCAUAAAGUGACAUAUCUCGAUGCAGACUACCCGAGAGGAAAUGCCAACUGCACAGAGCCUUUGAGCAACCCCAAGGACAUGGACACGUGUUAAACAUCCUUAUCGACAGUCAUUAUCAGUCAGCAGCGGGGCCAGCAUGCCGAACCUUCAUCAUGUCGACUACAAUCGGAAAUAUUCCGCAACGGAAACGAUACAGCUUCCGCCCCAAGUGGCACGCGACCUGAACUGGCUGUCCAGCCC